ensembl:lncRNA
CGACAUUGCAGGAGAGAUUCCCUGGGAAAUCAUUGCUCAUUUCCUUUCAGGCAGUUCGUUCACCUGCAGAAAUCCGCCUUUUCGGCUCUGCUCUGCGGCAGCUGGCGAUUGACACGAUCCCCUAAGUCAAUUUUGCAGCUGAGUGGACUGAGGUCCCAGAAUGCCAAGGGCCUGAAGUGGAGAAUAUGGAGCAGGUGUUUGGAGACUUGUUCCCUUCUCACCAUGUACUUCUCACUCAGUCCCACCUCAGCAGAAGACCUUGCCUUUGGUUUCCCAAGAAGAUCGAGACUCACUGGAGUGAUCCCUGGACAUCAUCCUUCCACUUCAGUUCGUCUCUGGAAAGAAGAACAGCAUCUUGCUCUCCUCCAGCUAUGGC